rnacentral:rRNA from 1 species
GACGAACGCUGGCGGCGUGCUUAACACAUGCAAGUCGAACGGAAAGGCCCUGCUUUUGUGGGGUGCUCGAGUGGCGAACGGGUGAGUAACACGUGAGUAACCUGCCCUUGACUUUGGGAUAACUUCAGGAAACUGGGGCUAAUAUCGGAUAGGAGCUCCUGCUGCAUGGUGGGGGUUGGAAAGUUUCGGCGGUUGGGGAUGGACUCGCGGCUUAUCAGCUUGUUGGUGGGGUAGUGGCUUACCAAGGCUUUGACGGGUAGCCGGCCAGAGAGGGUGACCGGCCACAUUGGGACUGAGAUACGGCCCAGACUCCUACGGGAGGCAGCAGUGGGGAAUAUUGCACAAUGGGCGGAAGCCUGAUGCAGCAACGCCGCGUGCGGGAUGACGGCCUUCGGGUUGUAAACCGCUUUCGCCUGUGACGAAGCGUGAGUGACGGUAAUGGGUAAAGAAGCACCGGCUAACUACGUG